rnacentral:rRNA from 1 species
AUACGUAGGGUGCAAGCGUUAAUCGGAAUUACUGGGCGUAAAGCGUGCGCAGGCGGUUUUGUAAGACAGUGGUGAAAUCCCCGGGCUCAACCUGGGUACUGCCAUUGUGACUGCAAGGCUGGAGUGCGGCAGAGGGGGAUGGAAUUCCGCGUGUAGCAGUGAAAUGCGUAGAUAUGCGGAGGAACACCGAUGGCGAAGGCAAUCCCCUGGGCCUGCACUGACGCUCAUGCACGAAAGCGUGGGGAGCAAACAGGAUUAGAUACCCUGGUAGUCCACGCCCUAAACGAUGUCAACUGGUUGUUGGGGAUUUAUUGACUCAGUAACGAAGCUAACGCGUGAAGUUGACCGCCUGGGGAGUACGGCCGCAAGGUUGAAACUCAAAUGAAUUGGCGGGG